rnacentral:rRNA from 1 species
GUGUCAGCCGCCGCGGUAAUACGGAGGGUGCAAGCGUUAUCCGGAUUCACUGGGUUUAAAGGGUGCGUAGGCGGGCUUGUAAGUCAGUGGUGAAAGCCCGGAGCUUAACUCCGGAAUUGCCGUUGAUACUGCAAGUCUUGAGUACAGUUGAGGUGGGCGGAAUACAUCAUGUAGUAGUGAAAUACUUAGAUAUGAUGUAGAACACCGAUUGCGAAGGCAGCUCACUAAAGUGUAACUGACGCUGAGGCACGAAAGCGUGGGGAUCAAACAGGAUUAGAAACCCCCGUAGUCC